AUAAUAUUCGGGCCGUCGGUCUACCGAGCAAUAUCACCCGCUCAGAGGAAAAAUUUCCCUUUGUCGU
rnacentral:pre_miRNA from 1 species